GUGUAUUAAACAGCACGUGAACAGGCAGCAGCAGAGCGCGUGGCAGUGCAUUGUUAUUGUUAUUAUUAUUAUUAUUAUUAUUAUUAUUAUUAUUAUUACACACUGCGGUGAGGGAAGAACAGUCAGUGGAUUUGGGAGAUGAAGAUUUAUGGAGUAUUUCUUCAGUUUUAACUCUCUGGACAUUUUCUUGGUUAAUUCGGCGACAUGAACUCCAGUGGAUUAUCAGACCAAGAGAUCACAGCUCUCUCUUCCGUGUAUGUCUCCUGUCUCAGUUUAAGCACCGCUUCCCCUGGACAGCGGUCCAGCUCUCCAUCUCCACAUCUCCAUCACCUCACACACAUCCUGUCACUGCAGUGUUACAGUGUUUAAUCAUAACCUCAACACCGCAGAGUGUUCUAUCAGUGUGCAGUAAGAUAUUAUUUUAUUUACAG
ensembl:lncRNA